AAGAAGGUGUCGCUCUCUUUCUGUUUAUUAUUCUUUAAUUGGCCUUGAAAUUAAAGAGACUGUAUUCUUAGAGGAAUCUUUUUAAAUCAGCAGAGGGAAAGAAGGCAGUGUGUGGCCACACAGGCCAUUUUUCUGCUGUCGCUGAUUUCAGCCCAUUGUGCGUUGUCCGUAGGAGGGACCCUGUUCCGGUAAUUCCCUCUUCUCCUCAUUUGCCUCGCUUUCCUACCAUCUUGUCUCUCGUCUUCAUUUCACGAGCCCUUUCUGCUGCCUUACGGUGACUAAUACUGAUAAAAUAUAAGAGUACCACACCACCAGGCUUCCAGUUACAUUUCCUUUACCGCUUCCUGAACUGGAGCGUUUUCUCUCCGUUGCUCCCUCCUUUUCUGUUGUUCCCACCCUCCUCCAUGAACGCACGCUGUAACACUCAGUCACUCUCACAGACACAGAGGGCAAGCGAGACAGGAACAGAAUACUGGACUUGCCGACUGGAGGAGGAUUUUUUUUUUCUUUUCUUAAAUGAAAAGGAGCAUGAAAACAGACAUUGUAAGAUGAAAACGUGACUGCUUAUUUGCCUGUCUUUGCCUUCGCUCUCUCUUCACUACUACUGUAUGCUCUUGUUCUGUCUACCUUUCUCCCUCAUUCCUCUACCUCUCCUUAUCUCUCCCCUGCAUGCAGCAGGCCUUUAGAGUCUGAGUGUUUUAAACUGUGGGAGGAAAUGAAUGGCGAUAUUUGUUUUCUCUUUCCCCACUCUGCUACUGCUGUUCUGAUGCUGUAUGUAACAGGCAGAGGGGGCAAGCUGAAGCUCUACAGUUUGUCUGCCCUGGGGACUUGAGCCUGCAAUCCAUGAAGCGUGCACGGCAGAGGAGGGAAAGAAAACGCAGAGAGACAGAAUCAGACAGGGAGGUGUGAUCUGGAGAGACUAAGGUGCAGAAUAAGAGCAUAAAAAAUGUGAGACAGCCAGGGGACUGACAGACAAAUCGACAGACAGGAAGAAAAAGAUGGGUAGUAGUGUCACAUGGUGAAAGAGGGGUGAGUAGCAGCAGGCAGAGGCACUACAGCAACAGGCAUUACACAUUUUUUCCUAUUAUUCGCUUCUGUGGCAGUUUUGUCGCUCUGUGUCUGAACCUUUUUGAUUUGACCGUACGUGUGAAAUUUAAACAACAAGAACUUCCGCUGGUUCUGUUUUAAUAUCUGAUGUAAAGCUAUGAUUCACACGACCUUGUGAUAUUGUUGGCUUAUUGGAUGUACAAUAUGUUUUUAGUCUGAUUUACAUUGGAUGCUACUUUAAAUACAGACAUGAUGCUUUUAUUCUGCUCCUUCUGUCUCUUUAUCAUUUGCUCUCCCGUACUAGUCAGCAGGCGUGUGCAGUAGCGGUAAAGGCCCAUUGAUAAUGUCUCCCCAGUUCAUGCUUUGUGCACUACUCUUAUGCUUACGACAGAUAGAUUUUGUGUGCACUGUCACCAUUUUCUGUUGAUGCUCUUUGUUUUGAAAAGUGGGCUAUUCCCCCUUAUUUACUCAAUUUUCUGCUGUCACUCAGUUUUACUACUAUUUUAUUUAAACCCAUCUCUAUAAUGUUUCUUGUUCACUUAUUUUAACCUAACACCUACCCUCCCUUUCAUCUUUUUCUGUGUCUCUCUGUCUCUCUCUCUCUCUCUCUCUCUCUCUGACUGCACAUGGUACAGUCUUGCAUGUCUGAGCAGCAGACGGCUAGACAGCAGCAAUCUGCUAGAGCAGAGCCUCAUGCGCUACUCCCAAUGAUCCAUUCAACAAAGCCUGAGCUAGCAACACUAAAGUCUUCCUCUACUUUUUCUCUCCAGUAUUUUUUAUUUUUUUUUCUCGCAGCUUUCCGUUUUUGUCUGGCCACAUCCGCUAUUGCUCUGCUAGGCUGACCGGCGCAGACAGACAGACAGAGAGAGAGAGAGGGGACUGCGGCAGCCUCCGCCACCUCGGUCAGCUGGAGCUUACUACACUCACUGCUGCAGACCGCCGCCAUCUUGUUACUGCCUGUGCUGCCAGUCUGCCCGCCUCUGCUGCACUCAAACCAAACCCAGCCUCAACUGUUCGCCAGCAUCUCUCGCCUGCCGCUGUUAUUAUGUUCCAUGCCAGUCCUGUCUUCGCGCAGCUUUAUCACAACACUGCCCUGCACCCCAGCUAAUGGACACUUUUUGUUGCUGCGCAGGGGCAGACACACCUGGGAUGUUUAGGUGGGCAUAAAACUGCCAUAGAUAGCCUGGGAGCUGUGGACACUGUCGCCAACAUCUUACAACACAUUUCGACUUAUUUAUUCCUAAAACAAUCGCUCCCCUACAAAUGCAUGCAAAUGUCGCCGAAAUAUUGUAUUCUUAUUCUUCCUUGACAUGUACCAUGCAGCACAGUCAUUUUACUAAUAACUAUGAAGAGUAGCAUCCCUUCUUUGCAGGAGAUAAUGAAAUGGGUGCUUCUCAGAUAAAAAUAGGAACCACAAUCUGUGCCUGACUCUGCAAGGCUUCGUUCUGCUCAUCCCAUAUACUGUUAUAUGCUAUGAGUACAUACAGUAUAGGAGCUCUCUUUGUGAGGCCGCGUGCCUUAAUGAGGAGAAGAGAGAGGAAAGGAGGUGUGGAGAGAGAGAAACUGAGCAGUGGUAAGAAAGUGCUCCUAAUUCUGUUUGGCAGAAACUGUGCUGUUUACCCAUAUGUGCACAGAGCAGACUGUCAUCAUAAAAUGACUGCGUUGCACAUGCUCACGCUGACUCUUAGUGGACUAUUUUCACUGAGAUCAAUAAUUUAAAUGAUUAAAAAAAAAAAAAUGGUGUGCUUUUAACAUAUUUUGUUGAACUUCAAGGGAAAGCUAAAAGUGGAAUGUUAUCUCAUGGAAACGCAAAUGCUGUAUUGAACUGUGCUUUUGUGAAAAACAAAUGAAUGUGAGUAGGUGGAGGCCAGAGUGAUACAGCAGUGAGUUCAGAAGGUCCUCGAUCCUCUCAGACAUGCUGCCAAGAAGACAACAUACUAAUGAAAUCAUAAAGGCCUUGAAGAAACUAAGCUGUCCCCUGAGAAUACAUGCAUGCAUCUGAGCCGGGGUUUUUUUGUCUGUUUGUUUGUUUUUUUACUACUGUCUCUGGAUAUACAUGUACUGCAGUACAAUGCUGUAAAAUGAGUGUUAAAUUAUUGCCACCUUUUAGCUGAUGUUCAUCUUUUCAGUCCAGCUGAGUGGGACAGAGCUUUUCUGAAUGAUGAAUGUAUCAUUUUUCUUAUUCGGACAAACUCACCACAAUAAAGCAUGCUGUAAAAUACCAA